GCAGGGGGGGUGUCUGUCUGUCAGCUUUGAGUAAAAAACAUAACCCAUGUCUGCAAAACCUACCCAUUAGUAUCCACCACUGACCAGAGAUGCAGAGCUUUCUUUGCACCCGGGGCCCUUCAGGACCGGACGUUUUUUCAAGAGAUGAGACUCCUCGGGAAGCGUUGCUCCUAUAGUCUUUCCAAAGCAAACCUGUAGCCUUGUUUCCCAAUUUUCAGCUAAAGCACCUUGGAGUUUGUAGCAGUACUCCAUUCAUCUGGCCUCUGUUUUAUUUUCAAGUGCUGCAGAGACUCCAAUUAUCAGCGGGAGCCUUAUUUUUUCUUCCUUUUCUUUGCCUAUUUUUCUUUCUUUUUCGUCAAAGGCAAGCCCUUUCAACUAUAAACUGAUCCCUGUGAGAGACGCACAAUGGCCGUUCGUGGUCACCAGCUAGUCUUAGAAUGAAUGUUUCAGAGCAUAUGGACCAAGGAAAAGUAGAUUAAUGAGACAGAAAAAGGACAAUCGUUGAUUUGUAUGUGCUUGUACAUCAUUCUGGAGGCAGGAUGGCUUUGCUCUGGUCAGCCACAAACUUGAGGACAUCUUCAACAUGAGUCUGGACCAAGCCGGCGAGGGGGGCGACCUGAGCCUGGACGGAGGCGGCCAGAGGCUUGAUGUGGUCUUCAAUGUUGCUGGAGAGGGGCUUCAGCUGCUCCUGGAGCUUCUCAACCAUGGGCUGAAACUGGGCUCUACUCUGCUCCAAUUUCACAGAGACAAAGAAGAUAAUGAAGCUCAUGGACUUACUUGGCCUUGUUGGCCAGCUCGGGGCCCUCAACGUUCUUCAGCUUGUCCACGAGAUCCUGGAAAUACUUGGCGAUCUUCUCCAGCUCAGCAGGAGCGUCUC